CUGUAACGGAUCGACUGGCACCCCGACUGGGUACCUCCGUUAAAGGAUGCUCCUAGCGCUUCCUGAGGACUCCAAGCACUGCAGCAGACACCACAACCACCGAACCGGAGAAGCAUAUGAAUCCUCUCAAGCAUAUGAAUGCCGUAGACAGUUGAAUAGGAACCAUACGAAUAGGUUUACUCUCCUAGCAGUCAAACUGGAACAGCAUACAAUAA